rnacentral:misc_RNA from 1 species
UCCUCGCAUGAGGACGUAGGUGGAAAUCCUUUUGUAAUUGCGAUAGAAAAUAAUUCAACUAAAAAAAACGCUUCGAUCGCAAUUACAAAAGAUUGGGAACCGAAGACCGACCUUUU